rnacentral:rRNA from 1 species
AUUGAACGCUGGCGGCAUGCCUUACACAUGCAAGUCGAACGGCAGCACGGGUGCUUGCACCUGGUGGCGAGUGGCGAACGGGUGAGUAAUACAUCGGAACGUACCUUAUCGUGGGGGAUAACGCAGCGAAAGCUGUGCUAAUACCGCAUACGCCCUGAGGGGGAAAGCGGGGGAUCGAAAGACCUACCGCGAUUAGAGCGGCCGAUGCCUGAUUAGCUUGUUGGUGGGGUAAAAGCCCACCAAGGCGACGAUCAGUAGCUGGUCUGAGAGGACGAUCAGCCACACUGGGACUGAGACACGGCCCAGACUCCUACGGGAGGCAGCAGUGGGGAAUUUUGGACAAUGGGGGCAACCCUGAUCCAGCAAUGCCGCGUGAGUGAAGAAGGCCUUCGGGUUGUAAAGCUCUUUUGUCAGGGAAGAAACACCGGCUCUAACACAGUCCGGGAAUGACGGUACCUGAAGAAUAAGCACCGGCUAACUACGUGCCAGCAGCCGCCGUAA